GAUGAACGCUGGCGGCGUGCCUAAUACAUGCAAGUCGAGCGAACGGACGAGAAGCUUGCUUCUCUGAUGUUAGCGGCGGACGGGUGAGUAACACGUGGAUAACCUACCUAUAAGACUGGGAUAACUUCGGGAAACCGUAGCUAAUACCGGAUAAUAUUUUGAACCGCAUGGUUCAAAAGUGAAAGACGGUCUUGCUGUCACUUAUAGAUGGAUCCGCGCUGCAUUAGCUAGUUGGUAAGGUAACGGCUUACCAAGGCAACGAGGCAUAGCCGACCUGAGAGGGUGAUCGGCCACACUGGAACUGAGACGCGGUCCAGACUCCUACGGGAGGCAGCAGUAGGGAAUCUUCCGCAAUGGGCGAAAGCCUGACGGAGCAACGCCGCGUGAGUGAUGAAGGUCUUCGGAUCGUAAAACUCUGUUAUUAGGGAAGAACAUAUGUGUAAGUAACUGUGCACAUCUUGACGGUACCUAAUCAGAAAGCCACGGCUAACUACGUG
rnacentral:rRNA from 1 species